rnacentral:rRNA from 1 species
GAUGAACGCUGGCGGCGUGCCUAAUACAUGCAAGUCGAGCGAACGGACGAGAAGCUUGCUUCUCUGAUGUUAGCGGCGGACGGGUGAGUAACACGUGGAUAACCUACCUAUAAGACUGGGAUAACUUCGGGAAGCCGUAGCUAAUACCGGAUAAUAUUUUGAACCGCAUGGUUCAAAAGUGAAAGACGGUCUUGCUGUCACUUAUAGAUGGAUCCGCGCUGCAUUAGCUAGUUGGUAAGGUAACGGCUUACCAAGGCAACGAUGCAUAGCCGACCUGAGAGGGUGAUCGGCCACACUGGAACUGAGACACGGUCCAGACUCCUACGGGAGGCAGCAGUAGGGAAUCUUCCGCAAUGGGCGAAAGCCUGACGGAGCAACGCCGCGUGAGUGAUGAAGGUCUUCGGAUCGUAAAACUCUGUUAUUAGGGAAGAACAUAUGUGUAAGUAGCUGUGCACAUCUUGACGGUACCUAAUCAGAAAGCCACGGCUAACUACGUG